CCCAAGACCCCCAAGGACCCCAAAUGUGACCCCUCUGACCCCAUAUCUGCCCCCCAAGACCCCCAAUUGCCCCAAAUGUGACCCCACUGACCCCAUAACUGCCCCCCAAGACCCCCAAGCCCCCCAAAUGUGACCCCUCUGAUCCCAUAUCUGCCCCCAAGACCCCAUAAGUGCCCCCA
rnacentral:lncRNA from 1 species